GACGAACGCUGGCGGCGUGCUUAACACAUGCAAGUCGAACGGAAAGGCCUGCUUUCCCUUGUGGAUUGCGGGUACUCGAGUGGCGAACGGGUGAGUAACACGUGAGUGAUCUGCCCCCAACUUGGGUAUAAGCCUGGGAAACUGGGUCUAAUUCCCGAUAGGACUGCAGGGUGGUGCCUGUGGUGGAAAACGAUUUUCUAGUGGUUGGGGAUGAGCUCGCGGCCUAUCAGCUUGUGGGUGGGGUAAUGGCCUACCAAGGCGGCGACGGGUAGCCGGCCUGAGAGGGUGGACGGCCACAUUGGGACUGAGAUACGGCCCAGACUCCUACGGGAGGCAGCAGUGGGGAAUAUUGCACGAUGGGCGGAAGCCUGAUGCAGCGACGCCGCGUGGGGGAUGACGGCCUUCGGGUUGUAAACUCCUUUCGACCGCGAGGAAGCCACCUGGUUGGAAGGGUGGUGACGGUAGUGGUAGAAGAAGCACCGGCUAACUACGUG
rnacentral:rRNA from 1 species